AUUGAACGCUGGCGGCAGGCCUAACACAUGCAAGUCGAGCGAGCGGCGGACGGGUGAGUAAUGUAUGGGGACUGCCCGAUAGCGGGGGAUCACUACUGGAAACGGUAGCUAAUACCGCACACUACCGGAUAACCCAGAUGGGAUUAGCUAGUGGGGGGGGUAAUGGCUACCAUGGGCGACGAUCCCUAGCUGGGCUGAGAGGAUGAUCAGCCACACGGGGACUGAGACAGGGCCCAGACUCCUACGGAGGCAUCAGUGGGGAAUAUGGCACAAUGGGCGAAAGCCGGAUGCAGCCAUGCCGCGGGUGUGAAGAAGGCCCUAGGGUUGUAAAGUACUUUCAGUCGGGAGGCGUUACCGACAGAGGAAGCACCGGCUAACUCCGUGCCAGCAGCCGCGGUAAUAC
rnacentral:rRNA from 1 species